rnacentral:ncRNA from 1 species
GGUUGAAAAAGGCAAACCUAUCCGAAAGGUAGGGGCGCAAAACCAUGGGUCUAAAUCGUUUCUGCGAUAUGAUCGCCAGGUUGCCAAC